CUGAGAGGAUGACCAGCCACACUGGAACUGAGACACGGUCCAGACUCCUACGGGAGGCAGCAGUGGGGAAUAUUGCACAAUGGGCGCAAGCCUGAUGCAGCCAUGCCGCGUGUAUGAAGAAGGCCUUCGGGUUGUAAAGUACUUUCAGCGGGGAGGAAGGGAGUAAAGUUAAUACCUUUGCUCAUUGACGUUACCCGCAGAAGAAGCACCGGCUAACUCCGUGCCAGCAGCCGCGGUAAUACGGAGGGUGCAAGCGUUAAUCGGAAUUACUGGGC
rnacentral:rRNA from 1 species